UACGGAGGGUGCGAGCGUUAUCCGGAUUCACUGGGUUCAAAGGGUGCGUAGGUGGGAAUGUAAGUCAGUGGUGAAAUCUCCGGGCUUAACCUGGAAACUGCCAUUGAUACUAUGUUUCUUGAAUUUUCUGGAGGAUAGCGGAAUAUGUCAUGUAGCGGUGAAAUGCUUAGAUAUGACAUAGAACACCGAUUGCGAAGGCAGCUAUCUACAGGGAUAUUGACACUGAUGCACGAAAGCGUGGGGAUCAAACAGG
rnacentral:rRNA from 1 species